rnacentral:rRNA from 1 species
UACGUAGGGUGCGAGCGUUAAUCGGAAUUACUGGGCGUAAAGCGUGCGCAGGCGGUUUUGUAAGCCCGAUGUGAAAGCCCCGGGCUUAACCUGGGAAUGGCAUUGAGGACUGUGUGGCUUGAGUGCGGCAGAGGGAGGUGGAAUUCCACGUGUAGCAGUGAAAUGCGUAGAGAUGUGGAGGAACACCGAUGGCGAAGGCAGCCUCCUGGGCCGACACUGACGCUGAGGGCACGAAAGCGUGGGGAGCAAACAGG